UUAUAUUUGAAGGGAUUAUCUACUUGGUUUGUCAAUUUUUGAUCCACAAGUAUUUUUUAAUAGAUUUUUAAAAAUAAUAUUUUUUUCUUCACUCUGCUGAGGGGAAUGUACCCAUGAUUCAACAGUUUUACCCAGGAUACACUUCUGCAAAGCCACUCCAGUAUUGGACCAGUUUACCCCACUCUACCAUGGACGUCUUACUUGUGAUGUGGACCUGAACCACCACCAUGUUAGAGUCACUCUUUCAGGUGAGAUGUAUUGGCCAAAACUCCAUGUUGUCUGAGUAACCUGUGUAUAUGCGCAGUGUUGCUGGCACCUUUUGUUCUUUCCCAGGGUGGAGGAAACACUAUCAAAUUACCUCCUUAUUCUCUUCCGCGGUCUUGUGGAGUAUCCUUCCCGAUUUGCAGGAACCAGCCUGGAUUUGAAGGGACCGGACAGUUCCCCUGCUGUACCAUGGGCGACCUACUUGUGAUGUGGACCUGAACCUCCGCCAUGUAGCAGACAACCCCCCUCAGGUCUUGCGGAGUAUCCUUCCCAAGUUGCGUGGAUGUGAAGGGACCGGACAGUUCCCCUACUGUACCAUGGGCGACCUACUUGUGAUGUGGACCUGAACCUCCGCCAUGUAGCAGACAACCCCCCUCAGGUCUUGCGGAGUAUCCUUCCCAGGUUGCGUGGAUGUGAAGAGACUAGACAGUUCCCCUGCUGUACCAUGGGCGACCUACUUGUGAUGUGGACCUGAACCUCCUCCAAGUGCCGGAGGGUUGCAUUUGGAGCAAAGGCCGAUGUAACCUGCUUGUACCUUGUCUUUGGAUGACACAAAUACCUGGAACCUCAUACAAUUCUCUUACACAGGUCUUGCGGAGUAUCCUUCCCAAGUUGCGUGGAUGUGAAGGGACCGGACAGUUCCCCUACUGUACCAUGGGCGACCUACUUGUGAUGUGGACCUGAACCUCCGCCAUGUAGCAGACAACCCCCCUCAGGUCUUGCGGAGUAUCCUUCCCAAGUUGUGUGGAUGUGAAGGGACACGACAGUUCCCCUGAUGUACCAUGGGCAACCUAACACAAUACCACUGCAUCUCUGAAAUGCCAUAUUUUACAUUUUAUUUACUAAUAAUUUAAAGUAACACACAAAACUUAUCAUUUUAA